rnacentral:lncRNA from 1 species
GGUUGAUCAAGAUAAUCAUAAUCCCGAAAUACUUCAAAUGAUUUUUGGUGUAUUAUGAAAGUUCUUUAUAAAUAUGUUCGGAGAGAAUGUUUAUUUGUACAAACUUUAUAACUUCGUUCAGUUUUUAUUUUGGUGGUGGUCUAUUUUGACCCAAUAUAAAUAAAUUAAUCCUGUAUAUAUUAUAAUAAUAUAUUGCCCCGUUUGCAAGUAAAAUAAAAAAUAAAGCAACACAAUUUGUUUUUCAGACGAGCGUGCAAGACAAGGUUAGUACAAACAUCAGUAGGAAAUCAAUCAGACAAACAAUGUUAUCUUGAAAAAGAAAGUAUUUUCAACAGAAAGUGAUCUCAAAUUGACAAGGGCUUACUGUAUUACAAAAGUAUUUUUUUACAGAAUUAGGAUAAUAUUCCCUUCGUCAUAAACCUUGCGUUGUUUGUUUGAUAAAUGAUUACCAUAGCUUGAUUGCAUGACCAUACAAAUAUACACCGUAUUUUGACUUUUGAUAAGGUUGGUACAAUGAUAAACUAACCGUACAGAUAUGAUAUUCUACGUCAUUGAUGUUGCCUUGGAAUAUCUAUAUUUAGGUGCACGGACGCUUUUCCAAAUCUUAUAUUUACCUCUCCUAGUAUUUGCCACUGUAAAUAUAAUGUUUUAUUAAAGAGGAUUUUCUAUGCUUUUAGCCAGUGAGAAAACAUAUUGUCAUAUAAUAAUACAAUGUAAUAUACUUUAGCCAUCAAUAAAUACAACCUAACGUUGAAAAUUAAUUUGUGAGUAGCACAAUUGUUUAUGUUUAAUUACGUAAAUAUUAAUGAUUCCCCUUUCCCCUUCGCCGCGAGAGGAAAUUGCUGUUCUACAAUAUCAACUUCGAUGUAAUUAUAUAAUAGAAACGAUAUCAAUGUUAUGCAUUACUUUAAAGUUUAAUCUUAGUAUAUGUCUUUUUAAACAGCGAUCUCGGCACGUAAGUUACAUAUACUUCAUAGUAUGUUUUUAUUUUGUCAUAUGUGAACCGAUUCCUUUAAAUUAUUGAAUGCUAAUAUUUACAUUUUUUAAAUAACACUUACUCGUUAUUAUCAUAAAAAUACUUGUUUCCUAUUUUCCUCGUCGUACUGUCAAACAGAUGAAGGUUAAUGGAGCACCCGUUCAGUUGUGGAUGUAUAAAUUCGCAGCCCUUACAUAUAAUGUAUAUGUUUGAACUUUGACGAUUAUUCUAUUCUCAAAAGUUCGAAUGACCAUUCACAAUAAAAUCUUUUGAAUGAAAGAAACUCGUAAAUCAUGAAUAUUUCAGUAAAACAUGUAUAAUUCACCGUCAGAUUAGUCGUACGAUUGUUUGUGAAACAUAAAAUUAUGGUAUUAAGACGGAAAAUCCCGAUUUUGGUUGUUACAUCCCGAAACUUGUUCGAUAAGUCUUCCUACGACCAGUCGUGAAUCUUACGAUUUGCGAAUAUUUUUGACACGAUAGCAAGUUAUACGGUAUGAUAUAUUAGAAUGUUUGAACCUACGUCAUGAUCACUUAUUUAUUUAUCGUUUCAGAUUGAUCUUGUAUGCUGAUAUGUCUAUCAGGUUGAUUUUGUGUUUUUUUUUCUAUUUUCAAAACAAGUUAAAACAGCAGGAAUGUUAUCUGAACUACUGCUGCCUGUUUUGAUAAAACAAAAUGCUCUAUGCAUACAGUGGUUAUAUAUUUAUUUUGAAUUCACCGACAAACUAUGACUGUUAUUAAUCAAAGAAACUGGUUUGCCAUAUUGAAUGGCUGGUCUUUCUUUAUCCCUUUGUAAACAUUUUAAUGGCUAUUUCAUUUUAAUUUACCGUUGUUCAUAUAAAAAUACAUUGUUUUGUAUUGUCUGAUUCUAUUUCAGCCUUAGGAUGCAACAUACCACCAUUGUGUGCUAUAAAAGAUGUGUUAAAUGAUGAACCCUGUACCGCUUCUGAACCAACAAUCGACGAUGGAUUAAUUUGCAACAACUGUAAAACACCGGUAUAAAAAUAGAAUCUACAGAAUGAACUAGAAUCAGGAAUAAAUGUGAAACAAAAUCCGUGUAAGAAAUCAUUGUCAUCUUACAAAUAUAUAUAAAUCUAUUGCGCAAAUAAAGAUUUCAAAAACUACAAA